ensembl:lncRNA
AGUAGAUCCAAAACAAAAAUGGAUAUCACUGACUUGAUUAAAAAAUAUAUAUAUUGAGACAUUUUUAACGAUAUAUUAUUUGGUUCACAUUUCAAACCUAUAUGAUUUUCUUUAUUAUGAUAAAUCAGUAUUGCUAAAGAUGACUGCAUGUUUGUAGACAGAAAUGUCAUGCCUGAAAACUACUAAAAUAUACCCAAAACAGUAUUAAACUUUCAUUCCAAAUCUUCAAACACUAUUUGAGUUGUGUUAUAAAACAUCACAGGUUUCAUUGUAGACCACAGCUGUGGCUUUUCUGUUUAUUGGGCUUCUUUCCUGCUCUUUGGGCUUUAUGUAAGUCAUGUAUAAAAAUACACCGGAAGUGUUUAUCAGAUGAUAUGCGCCAUAUGUGCUGGUACCAUUUACCUAUAACUAUUAGCCUGAGGAAUAAUUCUGUUCAUUAAAGUCAGAAAAUGGAAGAUUUUCAAAUGGCAAUUCCAGACUUUGAAAUUCCAGAAAUUGAAGUUCCAGAAAUUGAAGUUCCAGAAAUUGAAGUUCCAGAAACUGAAGUUCCAGAAACUGAAGUUCCAGAAGGGGACUUUUGUGAUGUGGAUAUGGAAAUGGAUUAUGAAUUAGGGAUAGAGGAUGAUAAUGCGAAAAAAGAAUCUGAGACUAAGAGACCAUCUCGUCAAGAAGUUCAAAAGCCAAAACGCCAAAUCCAACAAAACCUCCAAGGUCUUCGCAAAGUCCAAGUAAAAGUGAAAGACUACUUGCGCUACUCUGUGUUGACCGUCUCCUUCUGCAACUGCCUGUUUCUGGGUACGGCUGCACUGAUAUACUCCUUAAAGGUAAUAAACAGGAAGUAUAAGAGAGAUGUCAAAGGAGCAAAAAAAUUCAGCCGCCGUGCUCGGAAUGCUAAUAUUUGUGCCUUGGUUACAACCAUCAUUACCAUAAUUGUUUUUUCUGUUAUUGCUGCAAUGAGAUUUGUUUUUUGUUACCGUAAGUAUGUUGUAUCAUUUAAAUUUUCAGAUCCAGCCAUUACAAUGAAAUAUCAACAGCAAAACUUGUAGCUCUGGCUAUAUGAAUAUGAUAUAAGAAUAUGAUGUAAUCUACAUUCGUCUUCAUUAGUUUUGUAUCAAAAAUGUUUCUUUUCUUGUUACUGUUUGAUGCUUAUUAAUAAACAUUGCA